rnacentral:lncRNA from 1 species
AGUAUUUUUAAAGAUUGAAUGUGAGGACGAGAGUUAAGCAUUUGAAUUUAAUUAUAUAACCUAAGUCAACAGAGCGAGAGUUUGAGAUAAGGGUGUUUAAACGAUUAGUGUUUUCUUAAAAAGAGUUUCUACGGAUUCUAUUGUUUUCAAAAAGUGGUUUUUGACUUAACUAUAAGUGACAGCUACGUUAAUAUAAAAUCAUAGUUUAUUCAACAGAGCGAGAGUUUGAGAUAAAACUUUUAACCAAUAGCGUUAACUGAAAAGAUUUAUUUUUAAAACCAAGAAACCAAUAAAGAAUUGAUUCCCUAAUUACGACGAAUUACGUACCGAUAUCCGCUUAUUAGAUAUUAACUUUAGAUCCUAUUUUAGUUUUAGUUUUUUCCCCAAAAAUCAAAGUAUUACCUGCCUUAGCUUUACGAAGUAACCUUAGAUAACGGUAUAUCGAUUCAUAAGUC